rnacentral:antisense_RNA from 1 species
CCAUUAGUGGGAAAAAGUCACGAUCACUUGCAUGGCUACUUGCUACUGCUGCAGUUAAUACCACCGUGUCUUCAUAUCUUAGUAAAGCAGCUCCAUUGGCUUGUUUAGCCAUCUGACCGAUUUCAGCCGUUAAUGUUCUGCCUCCAAUUUCCGUUGUGAAUAUUUUUUUCUCUGACAUCAUUUUCUCCUUUAAGUGUGAUUUUAACAGGAAGUCCGUUCUACUAAACAAAUGUCAUUUUUUAAUUUUUAUAAAAAAUCACA